AAGGGAAGCAAAAUUGCGGAAUUGUUAUGCAGAAACCAUUCAUCUCGAGAGUGACGAGUUCGUUACCAUGAUUUUGGUGGAUUCUGUCUUUAUCAUUGAAUUAUUUCUGAGAGACUAUGACCCUAAUUUCAGAACCGAUGAUGAUCACAUAUUUGGGAAAUCGGGGUUAAGUCUCUUGGGCAUAGAAAUGAAUGAUGACUUGUACUUGCUGGAAAAUCAGCUUCCCUUAUUCAUUCUCAAUGAGUUGUUUGAUCUAGCCAAAACAGCAACUUACGGUGACAUUUACGAUGGAAUUUCCUUCAGGACUAUUACCCAUGCAUGGUUCAGAACUGAUCCCAUUCUUCCAAUAGAUCAUAUGAAAAUAGAAACUCACUUUUCAAAAGCUCAACAUUUUCUUGAUCUGCUCGUACUCUGUCUUCAGCCAUCCCCGCAGCCACGUGAAGACGGUGAAGUCGCUAAGCAAAAUAUUCCAGGGAUAAAGGAACUUCAUGAAGCUGGCGUCAGGUUCGAAUCAAGGUCAAGAGAAAAUCUACUUGACAUCACAUUCAAUAAUGGGAUUUUGGGAAUUCCAUUUUUCAAAGAAUAUUAUUUGACAGAGCGUUUAUACAGAAAUCUUAUAACUUUCGAGAUUAUGCAUGGCUAUCCCCGGUAUUUUAACGACUAUGUUGUGAUCAUGAGUUACCUUCUCCGCACUCCAAAAGAUGCCGAUUUGCUGAUUCAAAGUGGAAUUAUUGGGGGUACUAGUAGUGAAAGAUUGUCGACGACUCUCCAGAGCGUUAGUAAAAAUUCUCUGGUGGGUCAUUCUUUCAGUUAUGGUCAUGUCGCUAAAGAUCUGCAGGCCUAUUGCAAAUCGCCAUGGCACAGUUGGAAGGCAAACUUGAAGCAAAAUUAUUUCAACACUCCAUGGGCAUCUAUCUCCGUAAUUGCAGCUCUUAUUCUCAUUCUACUGACCGUCACACAAACCAUUUGUUCUAUCAUUGCAUUGUAGAUUAAUUUCUAUUAUUUUCAAUAUUUUUUCACUUGUAUUGCUGGUUUUCCUGCUGUCUAUCUUAUUAGUCAUAAAAUAAGCGAGAUUGAUUCAUCAGUCGUAGACAUUCUAAAAAAAACUGAACCCAAGCCGAAUUUGUUCAAAAUCAACCCCAACACAUUCGGUCUGGGAUGGAUUCAGUUUGGAUAGUUCGUAUUGAGUUUUUAUUGCACAACCCAAGUUUCUGCUAGGAUUUACAUAUAUCAUAUGCCCACUGACUCUGUGUACCUGAUUCUUUUAGUUAAUAAAGUUCCCAUGUCCUACACCUGCAAUGAGGUUCCAGGUUCCCUUGUACCAUAUAGAAAUUGACUAUUGAGAGGCAAUACAGAGAAAAUAAUUUUUCCUCUCUCUACACGUCACUCGCUUUUAAAUUGUGUGACUAGACUAAAAUGAAUAUAAUAAUUUGGCUGAUUUUGGCCUAUUCGAUGAUCUAGUUGCUAACGUGUUGCUUGGCGAAUGAAUGGAAGGGGAAACAAGAUUAUUCAAUUUUCCAAGAAAGCAACUUGUUUCAUUUGUAGUAUUAAAAAAGACUUCGGAGAAGUCAAACUCAUUAAAAAGUAAAAAAGAAUACAUACAAGUCAUGAUCAAUAUAAUAAUUUCUUUUGUAAGUAGAUGGAUUUAAUUCGGUCAUAAACUAUUCCUAACACUUGGUAACAUUUGAUAGACUGAAAAAUAGAAAAUAAAAAGGCACGCAUAUGUAGUAAAAUGACAAAUGUUAUAGUCUCUUGUAAAACUUAGAGAAAAUUAACUUAAGAAAUGAUAUAAACCUGCCCAACUUUGACCGGGUUAAGACAAACAAUCGACGAAAGGUCGAAAUAAUUCGCUUGACGAAGACCUCUUCAUCAUACCAACCCCGAGCUACAAGCUAUAGAAGUGACAGGUGCAGCUGCCCAACUUUGACCGAAGUUUCCACGAAAAGGAGUGACAGGUGCAGCUGAAGGCCCAACUUUGACCGGGUUAAGACAAACAAUCGACGAAAGGUCGAAAUAAUUCGCUUGACGAAGACCUCUUCAUCACGGGAUGAGUGUUUUGUGCAAUAAAUCUGUACGAUACUUAGAUAAUUUUUGUCGAAUGUUAUUAAGUAAGCCUUGAGCUUCUCGACUAGCUAAGCCUAGAGGUUUUUGAAGAGCUAGAAAGAAGAGAGCAAUGGAGCCGAAUAAAGAAAAAUUGUAUUACUCACAAGAGAGAUUACAAGAGAGCUUAUAAGGAUGCUUGAAUUGCUUGCUCUAAAGCUUGUUGCUCAAAUGCUAAAUGGCAUGCCCUAUUUAUAGGGGAGGCUUGCCAAGCUCUAGAGAUUCUAGAGAAUUCUACCAACUAUCUAAAUAAUUACAUGUGCUGGAAAUGUGUGGAGUAUUCUAGAUAUUUAAAAGCUCAAAUGUGCUAGAGUUGCCUAGAAAUUUCCACAAUCGGGCCAAGCUAGCACUUUUGGCCUUAUCUUGGGCUCUCUAGCCCGAAAUUAUGGGCAAUUGUGCUAGCAACUUGGGGUGGUCCGCAACAUCCUCCCCCACCUAAGCUCGCGGCGUCCUCGUCGCGUUCUCGUCCUUGAAAUUCUGGAUGUGCUCGGUGAAUUGCCACAAAUCAUCUUCGCGUUCCCAAGUGGCUUCGCUCUCGGGGAGGUUUUUCCAUUUCACCAAGUACUUGUCGUAUGGUGGCAUGCCUCUCCUCUGAACCACGCGGUCCGUAAUGAUGUAGUCCACAUCUUUGUCAAACGCGGUGACAAUGGCGGUUGGCGUACUCCUCGAUUCUCCACGACUUGGGUCUUCCACAUCUCUAUGAUAUGACUUGAGAAGGCUUACAUGGAAAACUUGAUGGAUCUUGAGUCUUGGCGGAAGUUAGAGUUGAUACGAGAUGUUGCCCACACGUUGUACAACUCGGAAGGGUCCCUCGUAGCGUCUCACUAACCCCUUGUGAACUUUCCGCAAAGUCUUGAAUUGUUGGGGUAGGAGCUUGAUCAUGACUUGAUCACCUUCCUUGUACUCAACAUGCUGUCUCCUUGUAUCUGCCUACUUUUUCAUCUUCCUCGCGGCUUUGUCAAGGUAGGCUCGCGUGAUGUCCGCUUCCUCGUGCCAUUCGCGGGCGAGCUUGUGUGCAGCGAGGCUUUUUCCUUCGUAAGUUGAGGCUAUGGCGUUGGGAGUCAUGGGCUGGAAUCCCAUGACGAUUUCGAAGGGACUCUUGCUCGUAGCCUCACUUCGCUGCAAGUUAUAAGAAAAUUGGGUGAUGUCGAGUAGCUUCGCUCAAUCCCGUUGAUGAGCGCUCACAUAAUGCCUCAAAUACAUCUCGAGGAGGCCAUUGAUGCGCUCGGUCUGCCCAUCCGUUUAUGGGUGGAAGCUUGUUGAGAACUUGAGAUCGAUUCUCAACAUCUUGAAGAGCUCCGUCCAAAAACGCCCAGUGAACCAUGGGUCUCGGUCGCUCACAAUACUCUUCGGAACUCCCCAAAGCUUCACGAUGUGCUUGACGAAGAUACGGGCUGCCUCGUCAACUUUGUAAUCGACUGGUGUGGCAAUAAAAGUUGCGUACUUGCUGUAACGGUCGACAACAACCAUGAUGCUGCUCCACCCUUCGGACUUAGGCAGUGACGUGAUGAAAUCCAUGGAGACACUUUCCCAUGAUCUUGUUAAGAGUGGUAGCGGCUCCAAUAAUCCCGCUGGGAGUUGGUGAUCUACCUUAUCUUGUUGGCACACAAGACAAGUUUGCACAUAUGCCUCGAUGUCAUCCCUCAUGUGUGGCAAAAAAUAAAAGGCUUGAACUAGAGUGGUGGUGUGCUCAAUUUCUGGGUGACCCACCCACUUGGAGUCGUAGCACUCUUUGAUGACUUCUUUCCACAAAUUUCCCAAUCUUGGCACGAACAACCAAUCUCCCUUGGUGAGGAGGAUGCCUUCCUCUUGCCAAAAUCGCCUUGUCUUGCCUUCGAGCACUUUCUCCAGCAAGUCCUUUGCUAGCAGAUCUUGUUGAAGACCUUCCUUGAUGCCUGAGACAAGGUCGGACUUUGGUUGGCUCAUGCUAAGUGUUGCCAAUUCGGCCUUGCGGCUUAGAGCGUUCGCAAUGACAUUGGCUUUUCCCAGUUUAUACUCGAGCCGAUAAUCGAAUUCCGCAAGGAAUUCUUGCCACCUUGCUUGCUUCGGACUCAACUUCUUUUGUGUUUGAAAGUAUCUUGUCGCUACGUUGUUAUGCAGAAACCAUUCAUCUUGAAGUGACGAGUUCGUUACCAUGAUUUUGGUGGAUUCUGUUUUUAUCAUUGAAUUAUUUCUGAGAGAUUAUUACCCUAAUUUCAAAACCGAUGAUGAUCACAUAUUUGGGAAAUCAUAGUUAAGUCUCUUAGGCAUAGAAAUGAACGAUGACUUGUACUUGCUGGAAAAUCAGCUUCCCUUAUUCAUUCUCAAUGAGUUGUUUGAUCUAGCCAAAACCGCAACUUAUCGCGACAUUUACGAGGAAAUUUCCUUCAAGACUAUUACCCA
rnacentral:lncRNA from 1 species